rnacentral:sRNA from 1 species
UCGCUCAGAACUUCGGGAGGGUGAGAGCCCUCGCGGGGUUCGUUCAGAGUGGCUGGCUGCGAUGAACGGCCACAGGCCGCCCAGAAGGGAUGAGCCACGCAGUGGCGAAUUAUCCCUUCCUCACCGCCA